CUGUCGCUGACCUUUCAAAAGGUCGUGCACGCCCGAGCGCUCUCACACAUCCAUCUCACCCCUUUGUGCAUCACCGCGUGGGUCCCCCUUUGCAGGAGGGCUCACGUUUUCACACAAAACUUGAUACAGUGUAGAAUGUUAUUUUUGCGGUCACACGCAAUCAAUACAACUUUCAACAACGGAUCUCUUGGCUCUCGCAUCGAUGAAGAACGCAGCGAAAUGCGAUACGUAAUGUGAAUUGCAGAAUUCAGUGAAUCAUCGAAUCUUUGAACGCACCUUGCGCCCCUUGGCAUUCCGAGGGGCACACCCGUUUGAGUGUCGUGAAAUCAUCAAAAACCCUUUUCUGUUUACCGAAAAGGAUUUUUGGACUUGGAGGUUUAAUGCUUGCCUUUCACUUUUGAAAGCGAGCUCCUCUCAAAUGAAUUAGUGGGGUCCGCUUUGCUGGUCCUUGACGUGAUAAGAUGUUUCUACGUUUUGGAUUUAGCACUGUCCCUUUGGAUUCCUGCUCCUAACUGUCCAACGGACAAACGAUGGUGCUCCGGUCGCCGCCGUCUACAUUGGCGGGGGAGGGCUGGACCCACGAAAGAAAACCUUGACCUCAAAUCGGGUGAGACUACCCGCUGAACUUAAGCAUAUCA
rnacentral:rRNA from 1 species